ensembl:lncRNA
CUAAAUCUGUGAGCCUCUUUCUGGAGAACUAUCACUUUUGCUGAUGAUACAGCUUUGUAUGUAGAAGACCCAUGAUAACAAUGAAGAAACUGAUAUCCUCAAGGCCUGGCGUGCUGUAAUUCAUGGGGUUGCAAAGAGUCGGAUACAACUGAGCGGCUGAACUGAACUGAACUGAACAGUCACUUGACCACUUGGCUUUUCUUCCUAUUGAGAUGCUUUGGGCCAUCUGUAUGCCCCACUCCGAAGUGAAGCACCAAGAGUGUGGCUCAUACACAAUGGACGUGUCACCAGGCUGUCAAUUUCUUUGGCUGGACAGUCAAUGGAUUCAGCCAGUCGGAUAAGAAAAUGAAAAUGAGAUGGUAAAGGC